UACACACUCCUUAGAUCCACCUUUGGGACAAAAUCAUGGAUGCCUGAAGUGACGAUGUCCAGCAACUUUAUUGUUGUACCAUCGAAGGUGCUUGAGUCAUUGGUGUGUUAUAUCAGUAUACCUCAGACUGCAGACUUGAGACUGUUGCAGAUCUAACGAUCAUUAUGGCAACAGUUGGCUGUUUUCUGGGACACA